UGUGUGUGUGUGUGUGUGUGUUAUCUUACAAUGGACCUUCAACUGCUACUGUCUCAGGCGCCAAUAUGUUGGCCAGGCUUCCUGUUAAAGACCCAUUCCUCGCACACUUCCUAUCCCAGUUGACACUGUGAGUCCGCUAACAGCCAAGGACUUCAAGGACAUCAACGCAGAUAAGACGUCAGCAUGCAGACGAAGCAGAGACAAGGCGAAAUCACAAGGCCACUAACAGCCAAGGACUUCAAGGACCUCAACGCAGAUAAGACGUCAGCACGCAGACGAAGCAGAGACAAGGCGAAAUCACAAGGCUGCUAACAGCCAAGGACUUCAAGGACCUCAACGCAGAUAAGAAGUCAGCACACAGAUGAAGCAGAGACAAGGCGAAAUCACAAGGCCCCAGCACAUUCCGUCACAUAUUGUGCGUCCUGGACCUGCUUUGCAUAAUAUAUGACCACUCCUUUUAGAGGCGGCCACAGUGAUGUUGACUGUGGAACUCCUGAAUAAAUACAGGGACGCGGGAGCUUAACCUUUGAACGUAGGGCGAGACUGUGACUAAGUGUGCAGCUCCAUGUGUUCUCCUCAUGAGCUAAAUUGAACUCCGUCUCUGCAUGGGACGGUAUAGCUCGGUUGGUAGAGCGGCCGUGCCAGCAACUUGAGGGUUGCAGGUUCGAUCCCCGCUUCUGCCAUCCUAGUCACUGCCGUUGUGUCCUUGGGCAAGACACCUUACCCACAUGCUCCCAGUGCCACCCACGCUGGUUUAAAUGUAACUUAGAUAUUGGGUUGCACUAUGUAAAGCGCUUUGAGUCACUAGAGAAAAAGCACUAUAUGGAUAUAUUUCACUUCAUGGUUGCUUGCUUCUUGUCUGUGCAACAGAUGUUAUCAGUGUUUGAACCUGACACCAUUUCAACCUAUAUUCAAUUGAAUAGACUGCAAAGACAAGAUAUUUAAUGUUCGAACUGGAAAACUUUGUUAUUUUUUGGAAUUUGAUGUCUCCACUCCUAACCCUUUCAUUAAGCAUAUCUAGCCUUGUCACUGUGGCUAUGAUAACAAAUGAACAAAAAGACAAAAGUUAACUUUUUACUUUCACUGAGAUAAGUUAAGUAGACAACAAAAAGAAUAGAGCAAGAAAUGCAUCAUUCAUAUUAACUCAGCUCUAAAUUGUGAAAAAGGUUACAGAUUAUACAUUGUGUGACCUUCACAAUACAAACAAGUCCAAUUAUGGACUAAAAAUUUCCAUCCAAUGUUCGCUAAAACGACAACCUCCCGACAUGAUGGAGCGAUACACCACCAUCCUCUUGGGGGCGACACAGAGCCGUACAUACUUGAGGGCUCGUGCAAAGCCAACAGAUCAAGCGUUUAGAUUUCAUUUUUAAGGAAAUGUAUUUUAAUUUUUACCAUAAAUAGCCUAAUGAGUCAAACUGCCGAGAAAUACGAUGAACAUUUCCAAACAUUUAAAAGCACUUCACCCAAAAAUCAAGCAUUCCUCAAACCUUGAAAACACAUUAAAAUCCAAGCAUUUUCUAGGGUUUUUAAGCACGCGUACGAACCCUGAACAUUAAGUGUGGAUUUCUGGCUAUUGUACCAGUUUUCAACAGAUACAUGAUCUGGAAUUCUUCCCUCCAGAUUUGGUCAAAUAUUUACAAAGUAGUUAUUAAAGCUUUCAAUUACUUAAAUCAGAUUGUCAUUUUUCACGUUUCCGUCCGAGAAGUAUUAUCCAUAAAAAUAUCCUUUAGAAUGCCCCAUGUUGCUUUGUUUUGUUCUUUCCUAAAUAUUCACAGUAUGCCAGUUAGCUUAUUUGUUAAGCUUUGUAAAUAUUUUCCGUCCAUCUAGAUCUUUAUGUUCUACAUAAGGCAUUCAUCUAGUUACAAGCAUUUUUCAGUACAUUUGUCAUCUAUGGUUGAUCGUUCUUCUGCCACUUACCAAGUUGUUUCCAUGGACGAUGUUUGUCAUUGAGAAUCAUGAAAGUGAAAUGACUUCCUGUUUCAUCCAACAUCAUUUUCACUGUACGCAUCAUCCCAACUUGGCUUUUUUGCAGAUCAUUUUUAAAAGCCUUCAUACUUAUCUAUGUACGUAGUCUUUGAUAUGUCUUUUUUGUUCAUACUCUCUUUUCUCCCUGUAGUUUCCGUCACAGAUUGUAUAAACUGGGAGAUGAUCACAGAUGUUGGUUAUGCAAUCAAUCAAUGUUUACUUAUAUAGUCCUAAAUCACGAGUGUCUCAAAGGGCUGCACAAGCUACAACAACAGAUUGUAGUUUUACUGUCAAAAUCAUUAGUAAAAAUAUUAUCAAAAUAAUGUCUUGCGAUUCUGCCAUGUUUGUAAUUUAAGGAUACAAACUCAUGCUAUACAUUGUAUCUAUGAAGUCAUCAAUGGUAUUUUGCUAAUUUGGAUUAAAAAGGUCAAUGUUGGACUGAUCACUUAAGUCAUUUUUGACAGAUUUUAGUGAAGGUUGUCGUAAUGCAGUCCUCUUCAAAUCAAUCCUUGCCUUAAGUGUUCUAUAUAUGCAACUGAUAAAGAAAUGUUAGCUUUUUUUAUGACAACUUUCAAUGGUUAUACAUUCUAAAAUAUUUUCAAAAGCAAAAUGGAUGUAUGUUUUUUUUACCACUUUGUUUUUCAGAUUUUUCAUCACAAACAAAAAUACAAUAUUUUCAUAACUAGUAGAUAAAAAUAAAAAUGUUUUUUACUUUCUAAAUAUUUGGGCCCUUUAGACAUAAAGUGACACCUUUUAGUCACCUUGACACUCCCCAAUGUAGUAUUGCUUCCUGGGGCUGAGCCAAUCAGUUGUCACAAUACUGAACAGUGCGCUGUGAUUGGUUUGAUCUCUUCUAGUGGCCAAUACUACUGAAGUAUUGAUAUUUUUUAGUUUAGUUCAUAAAAGCAAUGUUUAUGAUUUUUAUUUUUUUAAUUUGUCAGUUUUAUUAUUAUUUUUCAUUUUAAUUUAUUUAUGUAUAUACAUUUUUUAACUUUUUAUUUGACUCAUUUGACCCUUAUUGCUUUUGUACUAUCUUUUUUAGCUCAUUCAUUGUUUUAUGAUCUUUGUUUCUGUUUUUGUUUUUUUUUGCUCUAUGCUUUUUAACCUGUAAAGCAGUGGUCCCCAACCACCGGGCCGCGGACCGGUAUCGAUUGGUACUGGGCCGCACAAGAAAUUUAAAAAAAUAGUAAUAGUUUUGUAUUUUUUUAAAUGAUUAAAUCAACAUAAACAACACAAUAUAUACAUUAUAUAUCAAUACAGUCUGCAGGAAUACCAUCCAUAAGCACACAUAAUUGUAUUUCUUUAUGGAAAAAAAACAACAACAAAAAAAUCACCUCCCCGCCCGGUCCGUGGGACAAAUUUUCAAGCAGCUACAAAAAGGUUGGGGAUCAGCACUGCUGUAAAGCACUUUGGUCCAAUUUAAAACAUGUUGUAAAUGUGCGAAAUAAAUAAAGUUGCCUUGCCUUGCCUGGAAAAUGCUUAAUUUAAGGCACUGAUGUUAUAAAGGAUGCUUUAAACAAAA